CCUCAGAUUCAGACACCUCCCAGUGCUUCACAACUGUUAGCUCACUAGAGCAAAGGCAUGAUCUGACUCACUAGGCUUUGAAGAUUUUGGUAGCUGCACUUAACACUCGGGAAUAUUUAUGGUGAAGUCUGUGAAGUUACCUGUGUAUCGUUCUGGAUUAAUCCAUUCAAGCAGCUAUGGAUCACUCAGGGAAGGUCCACAGGCAAAACCUUCACAUCUGCAGGCUGAACUUUCAGAAAGAAGCCUGUGUUUUGGUGCCCUGCUGAACUGAGGCAGGAUUCAGUAAGAGCACAGCGAGAUGCAAACACAGGGGCUGGGCCUCACUGAAGAGAGAUGAAAGGAUACAGCAAAAAGUUACAGAUAGAAGCUGCAAUGGAGUGACUUCUGGAUCCUGGGUCAAGCAAAGCCUAUGAACAGCGGGAAGCACUUGCCUUUGGGAUUGUGAGCCCUGAGGGGUAUUGACAGCACUGGAAUUGCCUGAGCAUCAUUGAUAACGUGCCUGCAGGUCGAGAACAUUUGCAACAGGUUCAUCUGAAAAGCAGAGGGAAAGAGUGUUUCCUGAUGGGAUCAGGUUUGUCAGAGAAGUUCUGAGGAGCACCUGAAAUUUGCAUGGGUAUCUGAUAUCAUAGCCGAUGGCAUUGGUGCAGACUGAAGAGUGUCCAAAGCAGAAGAAGGGAGUACAGUCCCUUGGACUGGAGGUAUCCAGAUUAAAACAUCCAGGUUUGCACCCGGGAUUUCAACAAGAGCAUCACUGCUGCAAGAAUAUAACCAGGAAGUCUCAUAUGGCUUGCAAAAUUCAUCUGGGAUGCAAAUCAAUAAAUGUAACAGGAGAGAAACUACAAGCUGUGCAUUUCCAUGGAGGCUGAGGUUUUGUGGGAUGGAUGGAUAGACGCUGCUGAGCAUGACCUAAUGCCGCAGGAGGAAAAAAGCAACCACAGACCUCAGCAUCUAAACAGUAAAAUGGUGGAAAAGAUGUGUUGAGAACAGGAUGUAGGAGUUGCUUUGGGGGGGGGAAAUUCAGCAAAACAGGCAAAGAAGGCACAAAGAGGGAGAAGAAAGGAAGAGGUGGGCUGGCAGAUGAACUGAGAUUGGGUUUCGCAGUGCUGCUGAAUGAGUAGCAGGUUCGCUCUGGGUAUGUGUUACCUGCCACAUAUUCCAUGCCAUGUAUUUCGGAAAGAGGUCUUGGUAUCUGAGGAACAAAAAAGGCUUUAAUGCAAGGCUCGUUCACCAUUUCAAGCAAAAAUAAUGAACGUCCCCACACUCCUUUACCAAAGAUAGCAAUGAAGGGAUUUGAUGUUGCCUCCUGAAAUAACAAAAUGUGGUCAGAAACUCCUUACCAUUACAGCUUAUCGUACCCAUUGUACAGAUGCUAAAGCUGUUUGCACUCUGAGGAGGCAAAGCCUGACUGCUCAGAAUUUGCAGAAUUUUUGUAGUCAAAACCAGCCAAAACCCAGGUUCGGCAUCACCUGAAGCAGGACCCAUGGCUUGCUCUGUGUGUGCCUCUGUAAUCAGUUGUAGUUGGUUCAAUACUUGUAGCGGAUUAGAGUUUCAUUUGUAUUCUGCACACCUCUUCCUUCCCUCGCUGUGUGUAUAUAUAUCUCCAGAAAAGCUGCCUGCAUAUCCUUGUUUUUUUUUUCUCCCCGGGAUGACAGAUACUGUAACAAUGACAGUAGAUUAAUAUCUCCUUAAUCAGCCAAAUGAACAUGACAUACAAGGGUGACAGUUCAAUUUGCUGCUAACAGAUUGUGCCUAUCAGAGCCCUUCCAUUCCAACUGAUGUUUAUUUCUGGAAGAGAUCAUACGGGUCUGGGAGGACCUCAGCUUCCCACCAGCUCAUAGGCACCCAUUAAAUACAUCAAGUACCACGAAGGUGUUACUCACCCGCCUGUCAGGACACUAGCUGCUUGGGAAAUGAAAUGAGCCUUGACACAUGCAAUGGAGAAACACUCUCACUGAGCUGGGCGAGGUGGCAGCAUGUAUUAUUGACUACACGCUGCUGCAGGUCCCUCUCCUUAUUGCUGCUUGGGUUUUGUGUGCUUGUGGACUGCUUGGCGCUGAAACAUGGAUCAGAGGCUGAGUCUGUCUCCUGGGGAGAUACAUAAAGAAAUGAAAUGGGGAGGAAGUGCAGGAGGGGUGGUGGUUUGGGUAGAAAUGAUAGGUUAAAUCUCAGUCCCAGAACUGGCUGUGCUUUGAGCUUGUUUGCAGGUGGGAUUUCAGGAGGAUCUAGUUUCUAAUUCUGAAAUUCAAUCUGCAGGGUCUAAUUCAAAUCUCUCUUUUCCUGCUUCCUGCGGUACUUCAAAUGAAGUAACUCCAGAUACUGUACAAAGGGAUGGCAAGUCCUUCCAAAGGGCAGCCUCUGCUCCUCCCUAGGCUCAGCUAGACUCCAUUCUGUGCAGGCUUGGAACAGAACACCUAAGGUCUCCUGGGAUCGUGUCAGAGUUCUGGAGGUUGAAUUUAGACGUGUCCUUAGAAACCUUGUGACAUCAGGACUGAAGAGAAUAAGAG